UACAGAGGGGGCAAGCGUUGUCCGGAAUCAUUGGGCGUAAAGCGCGCGUAGGCGGCCCUGUAAGUCCGUUGUGAAAGUCGAAGGCUCAACCUUCGAAAGCCGAUGGAUACUGCAGGGCUAGAGUCCGGAAGAGGCGAGUGGAAUUCCUGGUGUAGCGGUGGAAUGCGCAGAUAUCAGGAGGAACACCAAUAGCGAAGGCAGCUCGCUGGGACGGUACUAACGCUAAGGCGCGAAGGCCAGGGGAGCAAACGGG
rnacentral:rRNA from 1 species